rnacentral:rRNA from 1 species
CCUACGGGGGGCAGCAGUCGAGAAUUAUUCACAAUGGGGGAAACCCUGAUGGUGCGACGCCGCGUGGGGGAAUGAAGGUCUUCGGAUUGUAAACCCCUGUCAUGUGGGAGCAAAUUAAAAAGAUAGUACCACAAGAGGAAGAGACGGCUAACUCUGUGCCAGCAGCCGCGGUAAUACAGAGGUCUCAAGCGUUGUUCGGAAUCACUGGGCGUAAAGCGUGCGUAGGCUGUUUCGUAAGUCGUGUGUGAAAGGCGCGGGCUCAACCCGCGGACGGCACAUGAUACUGCGAGACUAGAGUAAGGGAGGGGGAACCGGAAUUCUCGGUGUAGCAGUGAAAUGCGUAGAUAUCGAGAGGAACACUCGUGGCGAAGGCGGGUUCCUGGACAUUAACUGACGCUGAGGCACGAAGGCCAGGGGAGCGAAAGGGAUUAGAUACCCCUGUAGUC